rnacentral:tRNA from 1 species
GAUACUUUAAAUUAAAAGAUCUGAUUUGCAUUUAGAUAAUGAGUCUUGUAGACUUUCGGGUCA